UGCAACCCUCAGCAUCACCAUUGUAAAGCAAAAACUCAUUUAAACCGGAAAACCAAUAUUUGAGUGUAAAAAUAAAAAAAAGUAAAGGUGGAUUUGCGUCGUGGUUGUCGGUAACCCGCGUGGCAAUGAAAUUAUUUUGACAGCAAAGACCGGAAAUUAUGCUUUUCACGCUUGACAACUUGACCCUUAGUUAAACUGGAAGCAGACGAAGAACAAUGGACCUUGCCGGGGAGCCCCCACCGUGGGACCGCCACGGAGGGAGUAGAUGGGCGGGGAGCCUCCUCUUCCAAGCCACCCAAGAGGCCGAGGCUUAAAGCCGCACAGAGCGACAUCCAGCCUGGCUUGUGGCACCAUCCCCUCCCCACCAGACGCUUCUCAGCAGGAGCACCCCCCCGUACCUCCCAGCCCCCAAGGGACCCCUCGGCAAUGCACCCAAGCCUCUCUCAAGAUAUCAAAAAUCACAGAAGAUAUCCCACAAUGCCUGUAGGCUGUCGGCGCAACAUCUCCACACUCCCCUCAGAGGGUCCUGCAAGUAAAGGCAAGCUUUAUCAAAUAGAAUUAUUGCUUUGUGUUCGCUUGGAUGCAGAAGGCACUGUGAAUUAAAAUGAAACUUUAUAUCUUUUUGGCUAUAAAUGUCUCACUGAAGCACAACAAAUCCCUGCUUGAGUUUAUGAGUUAAGAGUCAGAUGUAAGCGCCUGAACAUGAUUGUGUAAAAUGUCUUUAGUUACUACUUAGUUGAAACUAACUCAAUAUGCUAGAAGGUUGUAGAAAGCAGCGAUUUUGGAAGUGUUGAUAAUCAAAACAUUUAUGUAUAAUUGCAGAAAUGUGUAUUAUAAUUGUGUAAAUCUAUUGUCGUUAUUUUAAAUAUAUUUCAAGGGGGCCCACUGCCCCCUGUCCCCACGCUUGUGCUUCUAUAC